AACAUGAAAACACACCUAAUAUGUGAAUUUGGUGUAAAUAAUUUAAAAAGCAAGAAGUUAUGACAGCUAAUAAUAUGAAAGAGAGGCGGUGCCACACCUAUUUUUUCAUCACAAACGCGUGUUGCGAACGAAAGUCAAAUGCAAAAAAAAAAAAUUAAUUAUCUUGACUGGUUCAAAAGAUAUUAAUUCCAAAAAAACAGGCUUUUGACCCAUAGUGCAAUGUUACACACACAUACACAGAUAUCUGCUGCCUGUGGAGGCGAUGCGUUGUAGCAACAUGUCUUUGACUCAGAUAUUCGCACUCGUACUUUUUGCCCAUCACUUACAGCUACACGCACACACGUGCACAGUCUCACAUACACACACACGCACUCACACUUGCACGCAUUGGGAUUUCGUGCUCGUAUUUAUAAAUUUAUUAUUAUGACUAAAUUGUUAACGUUCGUAUGAAUCGCUACUCUCUCGCUCUCUCUCUCUCUGUGCCCCUCUCUUUUCCCACUCUCUCGCUCUUUUGCCCUUCGAAAUGUCAAAAUAUUGCGGAAAUAAAAUUUUUUGACUCGCGUUCUCAGCUGCGCUGCACAGCGCGACGUUGCCAGCUGGAAGUUUGCCUUUCGCAGCGAAGUCACAUGCUUUUGAGCUUUCUAAUGCCAGGGCAGGCAGUCGCGCAGUUGUCAGCAGUUAACAUAUGCAGGGUAAGUUUUUUACUGUGCAAAGUCCCAUCUAUAUAUUCAAAGCGUUACUUCAAUUACAAAGUAUUUGUAUUGCGCAAUGACAGAUUUGACUGCAUUUUGAAAAUGAGAAUUUCACAAGCAACAUUCAUUUGCACUUUAGCCUCUUGCACAACGUACCCUGUCUGCUUUCAGCCCUAGAUAUGACAAGAAGAGCUGAAGACCCACAGCUGGCACCACUGCAAUAACGGCUCUCUCUCUCCCUCUAUGUGUGUGUCACUCUCUCGUCAAUUUGCGUUCGUUUUGGUGCUCUGGCGUAUCGCUCUGGUGCGUAUCGUCGUCUAUGGCAAGUGGCAUAUCGGCUGCAAGUUUAGUCCUGACUCAUACGCGUAGUUGAAAAGUCCUUCGAAUAGCCUUCUCAAAGUGCGCAAAUCAAAUAUAUUUUUUUCCAGUGUCUUACCUCUCUGUCCGAAUCUGAGCAAUCGAUUAGUACCAAAGCAUAUGAGUUUUUACCAGAAGGUGUCGACGCUAUCGACUUGUUUCAUGUUGUAAUUCAAAUACUUUCGGUAAGUACUUCA
rnacentral:misc_RNA from 1 species